rnacentral:tRNA from 1 species
UCCCUGGAGGACUAGUGGUUAGGCCUUGCGCUCUCAAUGCUGCGGCCUGGGUUCGAUUCCCAGCCAGGGAA